rfam:Schistosoma mansoni strain Puerto Rico chromosome 2, complete genome
AUCCAGCUGAUGAGUCCCAAAUAGGACGAAACGCUCGUCCUGGAU